GGGCACACAGCCGCUUGGAAGUUCACACUUCUCGUGGCAGUUUGAGCUGCUUGGUUUCUGCUCCAUGUGACCUGCAAGGAGAGCUGGUUCCCUGCUGGCGGAUGGAAGAGCUUGCCUGCCACCCUCUGCAUCCCCACCUGCACCUGGUCCUCAUUCCAAAUGAACCACAAGAGUUCCCAAGAUUGAGACCUCAUCCUAACCUCUGUGUGCAGGUAAGAAGGAAUGGAAGCACCUACCUCCAAAGCUGCCUGCAGGAUGAUGUCACAAAAAGUCAGCAAUACCUACUGUUUCAGGAGAUUCGGGAUACCCGGGGAAAUCUGUUAGUUCAAAUUAUGGAGCAAGGCACCUGGGUCUCCCCUGCUCAAGUCCUCAAUACAGUAAGGCCUUUCUCCAGCCUUUCUCUUCCUCCUUCUGUGAGUCUGAUUCUUAAUUGCAGUGGGAAAUCCAGUACUCCUUUCAUUCCCCCCACUCCUUUCCUUCUUUGCAGAGAAGAAGGAGGUUGGAGGAAGACCUGAGGAACAGUAUAAAGUUAGGGAAGUGCACAGAGGUGAGUACUAAAACAAUGGCUGGAAGCAGUGGUGGAAUUCAAUUUUUUUUACUAUUGGUUC
rnacentral:lncRNA from 1 species